UGGCCAUACCGGACUGAAUGCACCUGAUCUUGUCUGACCUUGGAAGCUAAACUGUCUCCGGCCUGGCCAGUAUUUGAACAGGAGACCACCUGGGAAUCUUGAGUGCAGUA
rnacentral:rRNA from 1 species